CCCCUUUUAGUGCCAACAAGCCCCCCUACGCACACGUCGUCGUCUUCACCCCCCCUUCACAGCUUUCACCCCCUUUCCUCACACUGUGCAUCUCAUCACUAUGUAAGUGGGGAUGCCAGACUGUUUUGCAUAACGCUGUUUAGUCCUUUGUGGCAGGCGGGGCGGCAUGCAAAUAUGCAAAACGAUGAUGGGGAGGCAUUUUGUAGAGUGAUGAGGAAGGGGAGAGGGCGGCAUUGGGAAUGAUGCCGCUGUGUGUGCAUGUGCUUGUGUUUUUGUCUUUUUUUUAACAAGUCUUUGGUAAUAGGAGCGAUGGUGGGAGUGGGUGCCAUCCGAACAAAAGCGAAGUUGGUGAUGGAAUACCACAUCACGCCGGCUUACAUCCUACGUGGAAGGAUACUCGUCUUCUGGCCUUUUUUACACUUAAUGGACAGUGCAACAGAAAGAUUUUUUUUUUUUUUUGUCAUCCAUUGCAUCAUUUUUGUAAAUCCAACCGGCGCAGAAUCAGAAAAUUGCAGCGGCAAAUUAAGAAGAAAGCAACGGGGAAGUUCCUUUUCGCUUACCCCUCCUCUUCAGCCAUGUUCUUUGCUCUCCUACUUAUCUGUGGCAGAGAGUCCAUGGUUCAUUAUAAUUGGCCGUUGUCAUCAUGCAGAUGACACACAGUCAGCGCUGUGAAUAUCAUUAGCGCCUUUGCAUACCUCCGCUCUUUUUCUUUUUUGUCCUUUCUUCUCGUUCCUUCAUUCCGAGGCUCGUUUCGCGAUUUCGAUAUUCCAGCAGAAGGAUCUAUCCACGUGACGAGAAGGAGAGAUGGAAAUAAACAACAACAGCUUCCAUGUGGGCAUUGGAAACUCAAUGGGCUCCAAGAAGCAUCUAGAAGAGUCCGGAUCCUCCUUUUAAAGGCUUUUUGUUGUUUCUAUGCGAUGCAUUUCUUUGUCUUCAGUCCUGUCUUCAUGAGGCAACCAGGGAAAGGUGCCACCCGGACCCUUCAGAGACCUCUGGCAUGGUGGGUGCGGAAAACAGAGGGGCGUGAAAGGACGGGGUGCGAGGAGGAGGAGGAGAUGGGUAAAGGGCGCCUGCCUCUGUUAUGGCAUAUGAAUGGCAGUCACGUAAUGAUGGCAAAUGUGGAGCAGAUUGGCUUUGAAGGAGAACAGGCAGGAAAAUGGGGGAUUCAGCUGGCCUUAUGCCAACAAUCCGCCCCUGCACAAUCUGCUCUGACACUUGUUGCCGUUCUGGAUGAGGAGACACCACGACCCUACAAGUCCAACAGAAAACUCUACGUUAUGCCAUCUAAAGGAAGUCAAGGAGCUUGUCUUUAAUCAUGUGGUUUAAUAUGUCACUACAUGCUCUAAGGUAGGACUUAAUGUAGGGUUAAGUGGUAAUACGUAGGCCUUAGACAAAAUAAAGCCCCCAUCUACAAUCAUUAGCUCUUCUUUUUUCAUGCCCAUCAAAAGUAGAUGUUGCAACCCAUCUACAGUAUGUCCUUUUUUGAUAAUGGUUCAAGAAGACUUUUUUUUUUUUUCUUUUUUUUUUUAAUCCAGCAGACUUCAUAAAUAAAAAUUGCUUGCCUCUGUUAGUUUAUGACAGGUAAACGGACGGCAGCUAGAUAGAGUAUUAUGAUGUUCAUAUUGAAAUGUGCUGAGCAAACAUUUUCCUGCACCAACAGACAUGCUCAGUGUAUGUGAGCGGUGGGGUGGGGGGGGUGCCCUUGUGGUGCACAAAAUGCACACUGAGCUGUCGUCUUGUCUGGAGGGCGUACAACAGGAGGAAGAAGUUUGAAUACCAAAAAACAAAAAAAAAAUGGGGAAGCGAGAGUUAAAUUUAGACUGCAGAGGUUUGCUGAAUGUACAUGAUGCUUAUAGAACAUGAUUUUUUUUAAUGUAUGUCAGGAGACUGGAUUUAAUGUUUCAGGUUUAUGUGGAUAAGAGCUAAACAAGAGCCCACUAUUGUUCAGAUAAAGCGAAAUGUCAUACGUUAAGUGUUAUCUUACGGCUCUUUGUUUAGGUUUGGCUGUGAGGGGGCGGGUGGUUGUCAACCAAAUCAAAUAGCUCAUUUAAAUAAGAACAAUCAGAGUCCCCAAAUAGGGCUGAGAUGCACAAGAGGGAGAAACAGCGAGGCGAUUUGACUUGCGAAUCAGCAGAUGCAUAUCUGCAUGCUAAUUACGUUACAAGAAGAGGGAAAAGAGUGGAAAGCGCCCCACAAGCUCCAGACAGACAGCGAGUGAGGGGAGGAAAGACAUAACAGAGAGGAAGAAGGGGGACGAGGGACCCAAAGAAGCGGACAAACAAACGAAGGAAUCAAAGGGAGCUAUAAAUGAGAUGGGUAAUUAAUUCCCUAUCAGGCUUUAUUCAACGGCGUUUGAUUUUCUUCGGAAACAAAUCGAUUCACGGCGAGGAGACGGAACGAGGAAAAAGCAUGGGACGAAUGUACGGACUGCAGCGGGGUUGGGGGGCAUCCGAAAAUUAAAAUUAUUGAUUGAUCUUAAGAUGCUGGGGGUUGUGAAGCAGAGGGCAUUUUGAGGAUGUAAUUAGAGCGGACUGGGACCGAGGCUGGAAUCAUAAUAGAUGACAUUGGAAUUCUCCACGGCGAUCGACCAUUAAUCUCCAUUAACGCAGAACCGGGAUAUUAAAAAUUCUAAUUGGACGGACAAAAAUUAUGUGGAUGGUGUGCAAAUGUGAGGUGGGAUGUUGAUCUUGGGAGUUUUGUUAUAAUUGCCAACUUGUGGGAAUUGCAUUUGCAGGUAUAGUAUCUGGACUGUGAUUGGGAUUACGAUCCCUCCAAACAAAUACUGAAUUCAUGUUUUAUUUGGUACAUCACUGUAUGAUUGUUUUUGUCUCUUUGAUUGUUGACUCUUAUGAUUAUGUGCAUUCAAACUAUAGUUAAAACUGUUUUUGUACAUGUACUGCAAAAAAUACACUGUCAAGUAAAGAUAAUUGCAUUUUUUUCCCGCUUUGUUUACAUACUUAAAAGUACUUUAUUGAUCAGCAUAUUAAUUUGUAUUUUUACCAAUGCAUAGAUGUCCUCUGCAGGGAUCUAAAUAAACAAUCUCCCAUCC